GGCCCCAACCCACUCCUCGCCUUCAUCCCUCGAGCCGGCCGCCGACUUCCUCCCUCCCGCCGGCCGUCAACUCCCUCCCGCGCGCCACUGCCAUCCUCCGCGCCGGUCUCCGCCUCCCUCCCGCGCGCCUGUCGCCGCCUCCUUCGCAUGCGCCACCACCGUGCCCCGCGCCGGUCAUCGCCUCCCUCUCGCGCGUCGGGCGCCGCCUUCCUCCACGCGCCAGCCACCGCCUUCCUCCCCGCGCCGCCCGUCUCCCUCCGAUGAUGCCGACCAGCCUGCCCCGGCGAAUCCAGGGCGAGCACCCUCCCCGAGCUACUCCAGGCGCAGAUCCUGCCACGAGUGCUCCCCGCGCACGGAUCUGGCCGGGCUCUGCGAGCAUAGACUGGUACAACCUGGACUCCGGCGCUGCUCCUCUCCCUGCACCCCGAUGCACCGGUGUUACCCCAGGCAUGGGAGCCAUCCCAGGGCCGAAAGAGGCUCGAGCUUCCUGCAGUUCUAGUAGAUAAGCUUGUCCGGCUCGCUCAGCCAGGUAAGCACAUGGGCUUCCCGCAGUUCAAGGACAGCAAAGUUUUUUUGACUGUGCACUGUAGGGAAAACCCCCACAGCCUAUCAUUUUAUUCCAACUCAUAAAGAUACAAUAUGUACAAGGUUAUGAAGAAUAACCCCAAAGAAAAAGCCUAAACUAAGGUACAUCAAGGUGAAAGAAAAAUACAUCAAGGGGGAAGAAAAGUUACCCAACAAACAAGGCUCUCCUUGAAUCUAGGCUUAAUCCUAAAGGAGAGAAGAGACAUGUCAUGAACAAAAAGUUCUCCUCCAAUGAUUGAAGCUGGGUCUAAUAUGCCUAAAGACUUUUGCAUUCCUGAUCAGCCAAAUAUUCCAGCAAGCAGUGAACACCACCUCAACAAAGAAAGGCUUGUUGAAAUCCUUUUUGGCAUUGACUACAAUUUCAGUCAUGUUGGUACCUUGAGACCAAUCAAUCUGAAGGUAAUUCCACACACACUGGCUAAAGAGACAAUUGAAAAAGAGGUGAUCCCUAUCUUCCCUGACCUGCAAAUGACAUAGCACACAAGAGAUCCCAUCUUCAAUAUGCCAAUGCCUUCUCUCAACCAUGUCCUUAGUAUUCAUCCUGUCCAUGAUCAUCAUCCAGGCAAAAACCUUUAGUUUCAAGGACAGCAAAGUUGUGGCACCAAGUCGAACUUGCCGCUGCACCAUCUUCACCAAGUCGAACUUGCUAGAACUUGCUGUUGCUCAACUUGAUCUCUCGGGUAGCUCAUCCAGCAAGACUGCUGAAAUGACCAAUCGAUCAGCAGCAUAAAGAUCACCAUCAGCGGUCCAAGUCGAGCUCUGGCUGUAGUCCAAGCCGAAAUGCGACCAACAUCUUCACCAAGCGUUGCACCCAUUGAGCAUCCACACACGGCCAAAUCCCGACGCCGCUCGUGAUCUCCGCCUCCAUCAGCUCCACUUCACCAAAGCUAUCGGUCCAAAUGAGGAGGUGUAGCCGGUCCACCCGAUCUCCGACGUCGUAUUCUACCUCCAAAAAUAUUCUUUUUCAGUUCAAUUCUUCGUCACAGGUUCACUGCUAUCACCCGUUUUUGUGAAUCUCUAUUGAAAAUUAGCUCAUGUUUUAGUGAAUGAGAAGCAGUUUGUACUUUUUGCUUGCGUGUUCAUGAGUAGUUUAAAAAGUGUGCUUGUUUCCUGCUUUGCUAUAACACUUGUUAGAUUGCUAUCCAAAAAAUGUCAUGUAUUCAUGGAUUUGAUGCUGGUGUAGCAGCCCAGCAUGUAUUUUAUCAUUAGUUCUUAAAAGGAAAGCUGAAUCAGUGCAGUGUGUGUGUUAAAAAAAUUAGGUUUAUAUUGUACGGUAGUUCAUUGUAUAGAAAAUUUUCAAUAGUUCCUGCUUUUCAGUUCAUCUACUUCCCCUUCGCAAGUCUAAUUAAUAGAAAUUCAAAUAUGAAAAUAGCAUCCAUUUUGUUAUGUUCAUCAUAUUCAACCAAUUUUGUAUGUACAGACUUGCAUAUGUUGAUUAGUAGGGUAGAUCUCUGUUGUAUAAGAAGCUAGAUGCUGAUUUGCACCUAUGCUCUAACAACAUUUUCAGUCAUCUUGAGUUUGUUGCCUAUAUCACUUCACAUCAUUUUCUCUUGUUGGUCCAGUGCAUGUCCCAGUGUCCCACAAUGAGUGGACAGGGGAGUUGUUGGGCGCUGCCAUCUUCACUAGCCGUAAUGCUAUGCGUGGCUACGGCCAUUGGUCAUCAUUAGUCGUUGACCGUUCUUCUUCACCACCUCCCUGAAGCACGAGGGAGGUUGGACGGACUGCAAGAAAGAAAAGCUCAGUUCUACAGACAACCCCCUCCGCCCACACGGACUACUUCCUCUGGUCCUCAUCCAGGUAUGGGGCUAACAUCAGUCCAACUAUUCCUCCCUUAUCCGUCCGAGCUCCUCUUGCCAUGCUCCUUCACGUAUGAGCUUUUUCUGGCACUGGUGCACGCCGCCACACAUUCAAAGAGUGUCUUGGAAAAAGUUCAGAAGUUUGGUUCCAUAAAAAAUUGCACUUGUUCAUCUCGAAAGAUCAUGAAAGUUGAGAAGUCAAGGUGCCUAGAACCUGCUUGAUGAAAUGACAACCUAAAUAAAUAUAUUACAGGUGCAAAUAUCAACUUAGCUCAGUUGUGCAUAUGACAGCAUGAUCUAACUUUCCCCCCAAUCUGAUGUGAUUUUGUUUGGAUCAAAUCGACUCACAGAAAAGUUGCACACAAAGACCAUCUUCUAAAAUGCAUUAAGAUCUAUUUCAUAAUUUGCGAGAUAAAGAAAUUUAUAUAGUACUUAUAGAUUUCAGAUUAUCGGAACAAGUUCUCAUACACGCCUUUUAGCUCUGUUACAACUUGCUAAAAGGGUUAGAAUGUUAUUGGUGUUGCAAAAAUAUCAGACGCUCUCAACUGAAUAAGAAGUGUGUAGCGCAAAGUUCAGGUAUAACUACUGCAAGAGUUCAAGAAUCGUUUCCUUCAUAAAUUAGUUUUCUUUUGGUUUAUUUGUUGUUCUGGGCAGUACAGACGUAGAGUCUUGUGUAGUACAUGUGUGUAUUGUACAUUGUAUAUUGUUAUCACUUACCAUACCAUCAUGGACAUAAAUAAGAGAGAUACAUAGAGUCGUUCUAUUAAAUAGUAAUCAACUUGCUAGCAAUACUAGAUACAUUUCAUCUUUGCAAAAAUCUGAUAUAUUUGGUGCAAUUUCUGAAUGAUUUGAUUUCGAUUUUGAGCUAUCAUGCAACUUAGUUAAAACAUGCAUUUUACUUCAAAAACUAAGUUUUGGAACAAAGAGUUCAUGUUUUAAAAGUUUGUAUAAAUUCCAAACAGAUUGUAAAUUUCCAUCGAGUAGGUGCGCGUGUUGAGCGGCUACUGAACUUGUGCGGCUGCUGCUUUUGGACUGCCCUGGAAGCACGUCAUUAUAGAUGGCAAAAAUCUGUAACCUAUAUAACUCCUGUUUGUUCUGACUUCUUGUUUCUCUACAACGGCCAAAUCCCGGCACACCUGAUAGUUCAAACUUACACCUGGCCUGCGACCAACUGCCCCCGCCUCUACAAGCUCCUCUGGAAUGACUUGGUAGUAGCUGGGAUCCCCCUACAGCGGCAAAAUCCAGGCGCACCCAGCCGCCGCUCGUGAUCCCCGCUCCUUCAGCUCGACUUCGUCGGCGCCGUCAGUCCACAGGAGUAGGAGCGCGCGUGCCCGUCAACAAACAAGAACAGAAGAAAAAGCCAAGGUGGCGCACCAAAGAAAUCCGAGAAAGCUGAGGUUUUGCUGCGUAUCAAACAUGUAUUUGAAGGUGUAGACUUGGCAACGGUUGUGGUUAGUUCAACAACAGUUCAAUGACAAAAAGAACAUCAACUCAAAAGAAUUUAUGCAGGAGGUUUUGAGCCAAACAACUGAUAUUUCAUUGUGUUUUAAUUUUUUGGGUGCAUGAUUGAACAUGAGAAAAAAGUGAUGUAUGAUAUAUAUUAUGUUCUUGUUGGAGGUUCAAAGGUUGUCGUGUAGCAAGUUCCAA